CCACGCCACCCAUCCCACACCACGCUCCCCCACACCCACACCACGCUCCGCCUUUCCCACUCUCCUUCCUUCGCUUCGUUGCGAGCCCAGAUCGAUGGCGCAGCCGCAUCCGUCCUCGUCGUCCUCCGCGCAGCCGCCCUCCUCGCCGUGGGUCAUCCUAGGCAGCAUCCCGCGCGUCUCCGCACUGGCGGACGCAGGAGACGUCUCCGUCGAGCUGGCGGCGCCGCCGCGCGUCUCGAUCCUCACCGUCCCCCCGCGCGUCUUCCCGGGCCCCCCUACGCCCCGCAACUUCCCCUUCGUCCUCGCCGCCGACCCCUCCGGCCUUCUCCUCCUCCAGGCCAACCUGCACUGCGCCCCGACCCGUGAGGUCAUCCGUCGCCCCGGCCUCCAGGAACUCUCCUGGAAAUUCGCUACUUCUCGCUACUUCGUGCUCGACGCCACCACCGGCUCGGCGUUCCACCUCCCCUACCCUGAGGCCACCAUCAUGCACCAGGCCCUCCUCGGCCUUCUCGUCUCCCCCAGGGGAGGCGGCCACUACAUGGUCGCGGAGCUCCAGCCCAUCAUCGGCUUGGACGAAGCCACGCUCCUUUGCUUCUCCACAGAGGUUGGGGAGUGGAUCGAGAAGACCGUCCAUUACCCGCUCCCGCCACGCCCGCUGGCUCCCAUCUGCGUGGUUUCGCACCACGGGAGGCUCUGGUGGGUGGACCUCUCAUGGGGCGUCAUCACCUGCGACCCCUUCGCCGACGAGCCGGUCCUGGGCUUCGUUCCGUUCCCGCCGGGAAGGGUCCUGGAGUGCAGGGAAGGUUGGGGUGUCGCCGACAAGUUCCGUUACGUGGGGGUGAGCGGCGGCAAGCUGCGUUUCGUCGACAUGUACAUGGGCAAGCGUGCUGGUGUUGGUGGCAGCGGCACGCACACUCCCACUCCCACGGUAAGCGUGUGGACGCUGGGCGAUCCAGACUCCAGGGAGUGGACGCUGGAGCAGGAGGUGGGCUUUACAGAGAUCUGGGCCGAUGAGAGCUACAAGGCGGCCGGGCUGCCGGAGAAGGUCCCCAUCGUCGCGCUCAUUCACACCAAGAACCCCGAUGUGGUCUACUUCUUCCUCGAGGAGCACCUCUUUGGUGUUGACAUGCGUGCUCGCAAGGUGGUGGAGUGCCAGGUGUAUGGUCUUGUUGCGCCUCCGAGCAUCCGCCUGGCCAGCCGCUUCGUUCGGGCUUGGGAGCUGCCACGGGCGCUCUCCUCCUCAGGAAAUGGCGGACGAUGAGUUAACUGAUAUGAUGUAUGACAUGGAGUUUGGAGAAGUGAUGAAAGACUGGAUAGAAGAUUGGUCAGAUGAUGAAAAUUCAGAUCGUGGAGAUAGGUCAGAGAGUGGGAACGUAUUGGAAGAUCUUAAUGAAAACAAUGAGCAUGAUGAUGGUGAGGAAAACAAGUCGGAGAUCUCGAAUGAGGAUUACAUUAGUCAGCUCAUUUCCGAAUGUCAUAAUGCGUACGACUAUUACGGUGAAUCCGACGCGGAGACAGGCCUUGAUGUCGAAUCAUUAGCUGCACCUGAUUCUGGGGAGUCGCAAUCGUCGGUCAUCAUGAGUGAGGUGACAGAAGUUGAGGGGAAAAAGAAUGUCCAAGGUACUGCUAGUGCAGAUGAUAAGAGGGAUAUGUUCAUGCAGAUAAUACAAAAGACUUACGUCUCAUGAGGCUGCGUAUGAUUUCUACAACAGCUAUGCUAGAGAAAAUGGUUUCAGCAUUAGAAAAAAUAGGGUCAGGUAUACCAAAACCGAGUCAUGUCAUAUGCGUUAUAGGCGGUUUGUUUGUUCCAGACAAGGAAAACGUGAUAGCAGGUUGCUAACCGAGGAAGGACACAGCCGUAGGCUCAGACCCGAGACACGCUGCCACUGCGAAGCGCACCUGACCGUGAAGUUUGACCAAAAGCGUGGGGUUUGGUAUGUUGAUAGUUUUGAGGACAAGCAUAGCCAUAUCUUGGCAGGACCGGACGAGGUACCUUUUCUUUGGUCCCACAGAAAAAUCAAAGAGUACCAGAGAGCUGAGAUACUAUCCAUGGGAGCUGCAGGGAUUAGAAUUCACGACAUGAUGGAUUCGUUCAUCAGCAAACAUGUAUGGUAUGGCGGUGUUGGUUUUACCAAGCGUGAAAUAUACAACCUUUGUGCCGGGGAGAAGAGGAAGCUGCUUUCAAAAGGUGAUGCUGCCACAGUCAUAGGCAUCAUGGCUAGUAGGAAAUAGAGGGGUCCUAGCUUCUUUUUCGAGUACAAGCUAGACAAGAAAGGACAUAUGAAUAGGAUGUUCUGGUCUGACUCCCAGUCUCGUCAUGACUAUGAGGACUUCAGCGACGUGCUUGUAUUUGACAGCACGUACAAGAUGAACCGGUAUGGUAUGCCAUUCAUACCCUUUGUUGGUCUUAACCAUCACCGGAAGACCACUGUUUUUGGUUGUGCCAUAGUUUCGGAUGAGACCGAAGAGACAUAUGUGUGGCUGCUGGAGACUUUUUUGAGGUCCAUGUGUCAAAAGAUGCCGAAGAGUGUUAUCACGGACGCCGAUGCUGCGAUGAUCAAGGCAAUUCGCCAAGUCUUGCCAGACGUGUGGCAACGUAUAUGUACGUGGCAUAUAGAAAAAAAUAUGAAGAUUCACCUCAGUCAAAAGUCCUUGAAGGAGUUCCGAACUCUUCUGUACUACAGCACGUCCACGGCCACGUUUGAGGAGAGAUGGCACGCAUUUUCCAAAAGAUGGCAGUUGGAAAAAAUAGUAACAUGGUUGAGACGGAUGUAUAAGAAGAGGAGACUGUGGGCCGCGGCUUAUCUGACAGAGGGUUUUUGGCUUGGCAUGAAAAGCAACCAGAGGAGUGAAAGUCUAAACUCAUGCCUUCACCUCCACCUAGACGGUGAAAUGACCCUGGUGGAUAUGAUUUUGCACUAUGAGAACGCCAUUGUACGUAUCCGUGAGAAUGAGGCACGAGAUGAUUGCACGGCCUCACAGAGUGUACCGGUGGCAGUUACUAGCUCGAGGGAACUUGAGAUAGCUGCUUCUCACGUCUUCACUCCAGCAAACUUCUAUAUGUUGCAAGCUGAUCUUAGGAAAAUUGGCAGCAUGGAGAUUGUAGAAAUAAAGCUCGGAGACGGACCACAGCAGUACAUCGUGGCCUGGAAGAAUAACCGGAAGAGCCGUUUUUGGGUGGAGUACACUCCAGUAAAUUCCGCAGAAACUAUAAGGUGCAGCUGCAGAAGAAUGAUUCGAAAGGGUCUACCUUGCAAGCACAUAUUCCAUGUACUGAAGUACUUGAAUAUAUCUGAAAUACCAUAGUGUUUAGUUCUUGUGCGGUUCACGAAAGACGCAAGGUUGGGACUGCCCGCGAGGCGCACAAGUGAUCUGUUGGGAUUUGGAUGGACUGGAGCAGCUGAAAGAAUGAAAUAUAGCCAGGUCAGUGUGUUGGCUUCAGAAGCUAUGCAUGCAGCAUGCAAACACCCAGCUUUGUGGGAUCAGUUACAGGAGAGUUUGAAGACCGUGAUAGCUAAGAGCCAUGAGUAUGAUCAGCUAAAGGAAAAUGUGAGUAAGAAAACAGCUGAUCUUAGUACUUGUGCGAUUGAAUAUGUAGACGAUGGUGAAGGCAACAUAGUUGAAGUUCAAGAUCCUAUUAAAGUAUCAACGAAAGGUGCAACUAAGGUAGAUGAGAACCGCCCUAUGUCGAAAAAUGGUAGGCCACUUUCGUACGAUGAGAUCAGAAUCAGGUGCGGUGCAUGCAAAUUGCUAGGGCACACUAAACGCAGCAAGAAAUUCAAACUAAAUAAGAAGUAUGUUUUUGUACGCAUUGUAGGUUAUAAUUGUUUUUAAUUUGUCAUUCAUUAACUUAUCCUGUUAUCGUGUGCAGAAGCGUGGUGGGCGAAGAAGAGUAGAACAAUUGCUAGAGUUAUGUUAGGAUGAAUCCAGUGAUCUAAUAGUGAGGUGUUUACAAUGUGUUACUGCAUACAUGAUACAUGAUAUAUAAUAUUGCAAGAGACCAGUACCUUGAGAUAGUUCUUGUAGCAUAUAUGGACUAAACAGGAGGCGGUCACUAGAGAAUUUAAUCAUGGAAAAUGGAUAGCAUUUUAGCCAUUGUAAUGAUAUCAUCUUUUGUGUUGUCCACUCAAAUUAUAUUAUAUUAGAAAACUAGACGAUAUCCGGCAUGUUGUUGCGGGAAUGUUUUGCAAUAUAUUCAUAGAGAAAUGGUUACGUGUAACAUGUAUAUGUUGUUGUGGGAAUCUUUUGUUUGUAUGUUGUAGUGGACCUUUCUCCAUACAUGUUGAAUGACGAGGUGGCAAACUUGCAUGUUAAGAGAAAUAGGU